GUGGGGAAUCUUGCGCAAUGGGCGAAAGCCUGACGCAGCGACGCCGCGUGCGGGACGAAGGCCUUCGGGUCGUAAACCGCUUUCAGCAGGGACGAGGCGAAAGUGACGGUACCUGCAGAAGAAGCCCCGGCUAACUACGUGCCAGCAGCCGCGGUAAUACGUAGGGGGCAAGCGUUAUCCGGAUUCAUUGGGCGUAAAGCGCGCGUAGGCGGCUUGUUUGGUCGGGAGUUAAAACCGGGGGCUCAACCCCCGUCCGCUUCCGAUACCGGCAGGCUUGAGUCUGGUAGAGGAAGGUGGAAUUCCCAGUGUAGCGGUGGAAUGCGCAGAUAUUGGGAGGAACACCAGUGGCGAAGGCGCCUUUCUGGACUGUGUCUGACGCUGAGAUGCGAAAGCCAGGGUAGCGAACGGGAUUAGAAACCCUAGUAGUCC
rnacentral:rRNA from 1 species